rnacentral:lncRNA from 1 species
GUUGUUGUUCUUUUAGUAGAGAUGGGGUUUCACCAUGUUAGCCAGGAUGGUCUCGAUCUCCUGACCUCGUGAUCUGCCCGCCUCGGCCUCCCAAAGUGCUGGGAUUACAGGCGUGAGCCACCGCGCCCGGCCAAUAAUACCCUUUUAAAAAGUGGGCUAAGGACAUGAAUAGACAAUUCUCAAAAUAAGUUAUACAAAUGCCCAAGAAACACAUGAAAAAAAUGCUCAACAUCACUAAUGAUCAGGAAAAUGCAAAUCAAAACCACAAUGAGAUACCACCUUACUCCUGCAAGGAUGACCAUAAUCAAAAAAAUCAAAAAAUAAUAGAUGUUGGCAUAGGUGUGGUGAAAAGGGAACACUUUCAUGCUGCUGGUGGGAAUGUAAACUAGUACAAACACUGGAAAACAGCGUGGAGAUUUCUUAAAGAACUAAGAGUAGAUCUACCAUUUGAUCUGGCAAUCCCACUACUGAGUAUCUACCUAGAGGAAAAGAAGUCAUUAUAUGAAAAAGACACUUGGACACGCAUGUUUAUAGCAGCACAAUUUGCAAUUGCAGAAGUAUGGAACCAGCCCAAAUACCCAUGAAUCAACGAGUGGAUAAAGAAAAUGUGGUAGAUAUAUAUACCAUGGAAUACUAUUCAGCCAUACAAAGAACAAAAUAAUGGCAUUUGCAGCAACCUGGAUGGAGUUGGAAACCAUUAUUCUAAGUGAAUUAUCUCGGGAAUGGAAAACCAAAUGUUGUGUGUUCUCACUUCUAUGAGGGAGCUAAGCUCUGAGGACGCAACGGCAUAAGAAUGAUACAAUGGACUAUGGGGACUUGGAGGUAAUGUUGGGAGGAGGGUGAGGAAUAAAAUAUUACACAUCGGGUACAGUGUAUGUUGCUUGGGUGGUGGGUGCACCAGAAUCUCAGAAAUAACCACUAAAUAACUUAUACAUGUAACCAAACACCACCUGUUCCCCAAAAACUAUUGUAGUUUUUUUUUUAAAAAUGUUAAGAAAGAAAAGACCAGAAGUACACUUCAAAAGCUUACUAAUUUCUCUUCCAUAAACUAAGAUAGGAUUAUGAUUUUUUUAAACAAUAAGUAAUUAUUAUUUAAUUAUUUAAACAAUAAGUAACUAUUAUUUAAUUACUUACUAAUUAAUAAGUAAGAAAAAGCUCUUGGAAUUAAAUAUGACAGAUAUUUUCAAAGUUCAUGGGAAAUGCAUAUUAUAAAAGAAAACUAUGCAUAGACUUCAAAAUCUUUUGAACCAUCAUAAACUCAUACUAACUGGUUAUAACUUCUGAACAGGAUCUGGUUUGUGGCAUUAAGAAAGAUAGGACAGGCCAGGCUCAGUGGCUCAUGCCUGUAAUCUCAACACUUUGGGAGGCUGAGGUGGAUGGAUCAUGAGGUCAAGAAUUCAAGACCAGCCUGGCCAACAUGGUAAAACCCUGUCUCUACUAAAAAUACAAAAAAUUAGCUGAGCAUGGUGGUGCAUGCUUAUAGUCCCAGCUACUCAGGAGGCUGAGGCAGGAGGAUCGCUUGAACCUGGGAGGCAGAGGUUGCAGUGAGCCAAGAUCGUGCCACUGCACUCCAGCCUCGGCAACAGAAUGAGACUCCGUCUCAAAAAAAAACAGAAAACAAAAAAAAAAACAAAACAAAAGAAAAGAAAAAGAAAGCUAGGACACAGUUUGAAAAGAGCCUGUAUCAGUGUAACAUGAAUUCUGCUAAAAUUAAACAAACAUCAAAUUUGUGAUGAAGCUUAGGUGGAAGAAUGGUGAAAUACUUGAUGCUUUACAAAAAGUUUAUGGGAACAAUGCCCCAAAGAAAUCAGCAAUUUACAAAUGGAUAACUUGUAUUAAGAAGGCACAAGAUGAUGGUGAAUAUGAAGCCCACAGCGGCAGACCAUCCACCACAAUUUGAGAGGAAGAAAUUUAUCUUGUUCAUGCCUUAAUUGAAGAAGACCAACAAUUAACAGCAGAAACAAUAGCCCAUAUUAUAGAUAUCUCAAUUGGUUCACCUUACACAAUUCUGACUGAAAAAUUAAAGUUGAGCAAAACUUUUCACUCAAUGUGUACCAAAUCUGUUGCAUCCAGAUUAGCUGCAGAUAGGAGCUUUCAGUGGAAAGUUUAAACAAGUAGGAUCAAGAUCCUGAAGCAUUUCUCCAAAGAAUUCUAAUAGAAGAUGAAAUAUGGCUUUACCAGUGUGAUCCUGAUGAAAAAGCACAAGCAAAGCAAUGUCUACCAAGAGUGGAAGUGGUCCCGUCAAAGCACAAGUGAACCAGUCAAGAGCAAGAGACAUGGCAACAGUUCUUUGGGAAUACUCAAGGCAUUUUGCUUGUUGACUAUCUGGAGAGCCAAAGAAUGAUAACAUCUGUGGUAGCGCUCCUCACACGGGAGCACCAGCUGUGGGGGUCUGUCCCUUGCAGACCCCUGACCCAGCGAUGGAUGAAUGAAGUACACGGGCAACACCAGACUGAUUGAAUCCCUACAAACAUCUGCUUAUUAUGAGAGUGUUUUGAGAAAGCUAGCCAAAGCUUUACCAGAAAAAUAUUCGGGAAAGCUUCAUCAAAGAGGCUUCUCCACCACAACAAUGCUUCUGCUCAUUUCUCUAUUCAAACAAGGAAAAUUUUGCAAGAGUUUCUACGGGAACUCAUUAGGCUUCCACCUUACAAUCCUGAUUUGGUUUCUUAUGACUUAUUUUUGUUUCCUAAUCUUAAAAAAUAUUUGAAGAGUAUUCAUUUUUCUUCAAUUAGUAAUGUAAAAAAGAUUGUCUUGACAUGGUUAAAUUCCUAGGACUCUAGUGCAUUAUGGAGGAACUGAAUGGUUGGUAUCAUUGCUUACAAAAGUGUCUUCAUCCUGAUGGAGCUUAUGUUAAGAAAUAAAGUUCAUAUGUUUCAUUUUUAUCUUUUUUUUUUUUUUGAGACGGAGUCUCGCUGUCACCCAGGCUGGAGUCCAGUGACACGAUCUCGGCUCACCCCAACCCCCCCGCCUCCCAGGUUCAAGUGAUUCUACUGCCUCAACCUCCUGAGUAGCUGGGACUACAGACGUGCACCAUGACGCCUGGUUAAUUUUUUAUUUUUUAUUUUUUUUAUUUUUAGUAGAGACAGGGUUUCACCAUAUUGGCCAGGCUAGUCUAGAACUCCUGACCUCCUGAUCUGCCCACCUUGGCCUCCCAAAGUGCUGGGAUUAAAGGCGUGAGCCACCAUGCCUGGCUCAUUUUUAUCUUUUAACUCAAUUUUCCCACAAAAUUCUUGAAGUCCCCUCAUAUAUGAUAGAAGAAAAAUUUUUAGACUCAACCAAAAGAUUGAAAAUUUAAUAUUGACAAAAUCACUGAAAAGGAAGAACAAAAAAACAAAGAAACGAAAAAUGGGCUGGGCAUAGUGACUCAUGCCCAUAACCCCAGAACUUUGGGAGGCUGAGGUGGGUGGAUCAGUUGGAGUCAGGAGUUUGAGACGAGCCUGGUUAACAUGGUGAAACCCCAUCUCUACUAAAAAUACAAAAAUUAGCUGGGUGUUGUGGUGUGUGCCGGUAGUCCCAGCUACCCGCAAGGUGAGGCAGGAGAAUUGCUUGAACCUGGGAGGCAGAAGUUGAAGUGAGCUGCAAUUGUGCCACUGCACUUGAGCCUGGGCGAUAAAGCAAGACUCCAUUUCAAAAAAAAGGAAAAAAGAAAAAAGAAAAGAAACGGAAAACGGAAGAGAAGGUAAAACAAAAAGGAAAUAGAUGGAAAAUGGAGGAAAGGGACAGAAAAUUAGAAGAGUAACUAACAGGUCCAAUAUAUGACGAAUAGGCAGUACAGAAAGAGAGAACAGAAAAAUGGAGCCCUUGGAUAAAAGUGGAUUAAAAAGCAAAUACAACCUUGCACUAAGACACAUCAUAAAUUUGAGAACACAGAAAUGAAAAGAAAAUACUAAAAUCUUCACAUGAUGAAAAGGUGACUUACAAGCAAAAGAUUGGAAAUCAGAAUGGCAUCUGACCUCUCAAGUGCAAUACAAAAAUUAGGAAUGUAGCAGAGCCUUCAAAUUCUGAGAAAAAAUGAUCUCCAGCGUGAAAUUCUAUAUGUAGACAAACUAUCAAUCAAGUAUAAGGGUAGAAUAAAUGUAUUAGUUUAUUAGUUUGGAAAUAAUGGAAGAUGUAUUAGUUUCCUGUAGCUGCAGUAACAAAGUAUCACAAACUGUGUAGCUUUAAACAACAAAAAUAUAUUCUCUCACAGUUCUGGGAACUGUAAGUCUUUAAUUAUGCUAUUGUGAGGGCAUGUUCUCUCUCUUAGCUUCUAGUGAUUGACAACAAUACUGGACACUCCUUGACUUGUAGCUACAUAAUUAACAAUCUCUGCCUCCUCCAUCACACAGCUGUCUCUCCUCUGUGUGUCUGUGUCUUCACAUGGCAUUCUCUCCUCUGAUGUGUCUCUGUGCUUUCUUUUCUCGUUCUUAUAAGGAUACCAGUCAUGUUGAAUUAAGGACCUGCCCUACUCCUUACAUCUUAAUUUUCAUCUUAAUUACGUCUGCAAAGACCCUGUUUCCAAAGAAGGUCACAUACAUGUACCAGAAGUUAAGAUGACAACAUAUCUUUUGGUGGGGGGGGACAAAAAUUAACAGAGGAUCUAUUUACAUCACAUAUAACCAUUCUUAGCUACUUGAUAAAGUGCUUUACUCUAAUGAGGGGAGAAAGCAAGAAUAUAAAAUAUAAAGGCCUGAAGAAACAAGAAAUCCAAUCAAGAGAAAAACAAAAUAAAUUCCUAGGAUGAUGGUGAAAGGAAUUCCCAGAAGGACAGCUGCACAGCAGCAGAGGGCAGCCAGGUCAAACUGGAGCAGGAGUCUACAUGUUCAAUGCAUUCAACAGGAAAAGAAGGAAAGAAAGGAAAAGAAAAAAGAAAGAAAGAGAGAG